GCGCUGCCCGCCUCGCCCUGCCCUGCCCUGCCCUGCCGAGCGCGGCUCUGCCCGGGCGCCUUCCCGCCGCGCCGUCCCACUCGCGGCGGCUGCGACCCCGCGAGAGGGCGCUGGCGGCGCCGCGCCGCUGCCCGGCGAGGCCGGAGUUUGAAAAAGUGCCGGUUGCCCGCGGCGUCGCGCAGCAAUGGCGGCGGGGAGCGCGCAGGGCAGCUGUCUCUUGCAGCUGGGCAGUGGGGUGAACUUGAUGGAUCCAAGCUUCCAGCAAAAACUGGAGGGUGAGAAGGAACUAAUUCGUCGAGCUAUUCAGAAGGAACUGAAAAUUAAAGAGGGAGCGGAAAACCUGCGCAAAGUGACAACAGAUAAGAAGAAUCUUGUGCAUAUAGAGCAUGUUCUGAAAUCCUCCAACCGGAAACUGGAGCAACUGCACUGGGAACUUCAGGAACUUAAUGCAAGGAUUGUAAUAACAGAAAAGGAGGAGAGUAAGACAGAUGGCUCUUUGUCUCCAGACCCUUGUCUCUGGGAAAGGAACCCACACCCCAUGGCAAGGAAGAUUGAAGCUCUGAAAAGGCAGCUGCACGUUGAAAUGAAAGUGAAACAAGGAGCUGAGAACAUGAUCCAGCUGUAUUCAAAUGCAACAUCCAAGGAGAGGAAGCUGCUGGCUACAGCUCAGCAGAUGCUUCAGGACAGCAAGACAAAGAUUGAAAUAAUUCGCAUGCACAUUGUGAAGGUGUCUCAGUCAGCAGGAGGGAUAGAAGAUGCAGUGGAUCCAGCAGUGAGGAUGGGGACCACCAUCAGUGCUUUGGAACUGCGCAUUGAGGAGCUGAGACAUCACCUGCGCAUUGAAGCUGCUGUAGCUGAGGGGGCAAAAAAUGUGCUGAAGAUCCUUGGAGGGAGUCGGGUGCAGGAUCGCAAGUUUUUGGCUGAGGCUCAAGGUCGCUUGCAAGAGUCCUCUCAGAAGAUUGAUCUGCUGCGCUUGUCCUUGGAACAUCAGCUUAGUGAGCUUUCUCCUGAUCACCCAAAGCGAGCACUCAUCAAGCAGGAACUAGUAAAUACUUCCUCCCUGGGAGCUCAGCAUGGCAGCAUCCAACCUACUUCAGUCAUCAAACCUACAGCUCUUACAGGUACACUGGAAGUGAGACUGAUGGGGUGUCAGAAUCUAUUGGAAAAUGUUCCAGGACGUUCCCGAAUGGCUAGUUCUUCUCCCAUACGUGGCAGCCCAAGUGAUCUGAGGUCCCUUACCCGAACACGAGUUGGCCUGGGUAUCCACAGCCGUAGCGUUGCAGGAAAGUACCUGCGGAAUGAAGAGCUAUGCAAUGAGGUCCUCGCUGUGCUCAAAGUGGACAAUAAAGUGGUCGGUCAAACAAACUGGGGACCAGUUAAUAACCAGGCAUGGGACCAGAGCUUUGUUAUUGAGUUGGACCGGUCUCGCGAGCUAGAAAUUGCAGUUUAUUGGAGGGAUUGGAGAGAACUUUGUGCAGUGAAGUUCUUACGUUUGGAUGAUUUCCUUGAUAAUGAACGCCAUGGGAUGUGCCUCUCCCUUGAACCCCAAGGAGUGCUUUUUGCGGAGGUGAUGUUCUGUAAUCCUGUCAUUGAGAGAAGGCCCAAGCUGCAGCGACAGAAACGCAUUUUCCCCAAACAGAAAGGGAAAGAAUUUCUCCGAGCUUCUCAAAUGAACAUAAAUGUUGCAGCUUGGGGUCGCCUGAUGAUGAGUUUUCUCCCUCCAUGUAGUUCCAUGAGCAGUCUGAGCCCCUCACUUCAUGAUCCUGUUCAUACAGACUUCUCUCCAGUUCCUCUGCAAAGUCAUAUUGAUUCAGUGUCCAAACUGACUAGUGACUUUCCUGUGGCUAAGCUUACGUUUGAUGAUGAAGCUCCACCCAAGCCUCCACGCCUUUUUCUGAUGGCCAACUCCAAAGAAUCAGCACCAUCUCCUGCAGACUCUCCGUGUCUGAAGAGGCUGCAUGUUGAGGAGAAGUAUUGCAACUCUGCUCUAACAGGAUUUCCAGUCCAGGCAUCUCUAAGGAAAAGGGAAGUUCAGCUUGAGGAUUUUCACUGUAUUGCCAUGCUGGGACGCGGACACUUUGGGAAGGUGCUGCUGGCCCAAUACAAAGCAACUGGGAAGCUGUAUGCUAUCAAAGCCUUGAAGAAAAAAGAUAUUAUUAACAGAGAUGAAAUUGAUAGCUUGAACUGUGAGAAGCGAAUCUUUGAAGUGGUCAAUUCUUCUGAUCAUCCGUUCCUUGUGAAUAUGUUUGCCUGUUUUCAGACACCUCAUCAUGCUUGUUUUGUGAUGGAAUAUACCCCAGGUGGUGAUCUUAUGAUGCGCAUACAUGAAGAUAUCUUUCCGGAGCAUAUGGCACGGUUUUAUACAGCCUGCGUAGUCUUGGGGCUCCAGUUCUUGCAUGGAAAGAAAAUUAUUUAUAGGGAUCUGAAAUUGGAUAAUCUACUUUUAGAUGCUGAAGGUUUUGUGAAGAUUGCAGAUUUUGGACUGUGUAAAGAAGGAAUGGGUUUUGGAGACCAUACAAACACCUUCUGUGGCACUCCUGAAUUCCUGGCUCCAGAAGUCCUGACAGAUGUUUCGUACACCCGGGCAGUAGACUGGUGGGGAUUGGGUGUACUCAUUUAUGAGAUGCUUGUUGGUGAGUCACCGUUCCCUGGAGAUGAUGAGGAAGAAGUCUUUGACAGUAUUGUCAAUGAUGAAGUCCGGUAUCCGCGAUUCCUUUCCACUGAGGCACUUUCUAUAAUCCGCAAGCUGCUUCGGAAAUGUCCAGAGCGUAGACUGGGAGCGGGGGAAAGAGAUGCAGAAGAGAUUAAAAUCCAGGCUUUUUUUAAGGAAAUUGAUUGGGAUGCCUUGUUUGCCAGGAAACUGAAGCCCCCUUUUGUGCCCACUUUAAGAGCUCUAACUGACAUUAGCAACUUUGAUGAAGAGUUUACAUCGCAAAAGCCAAUUCUGACUCCUCCAGAGGAGGUUGCUCUCCUAACCCGUAAGGAGCAGGCUAUCUUCAAGGAUUUUGACUUUGUCUCCACGCACCUUUUAGAGGUUUGACUGCUGUGCUGUGAGAAAUCUGAACAAGUUGUUACCAUCAUGAGAGUUUGUAAAGACAACUUGACAUGGGCAAUGGAAAAUCAGAAGAAUUCACAGAACUGGUAGUGCUGAUGACCCUAGGAAGACAGUUUCUUACAAGCUGAGUUGUUCUACCGUGCUUUUUUUUCAGUCUCAGCUUUUGGAGGGAUACUGGAUGUGAAUUACCUUAAGUAGUAGUCCAUUUUUGAAUGGGUGUGUUAUCUGCUGCCAUUGAAUAGAUACGGAAAUUUGGAAUUUAAACUGGACUUAAUGAAAUCAAAUCUUCUCUGCAUCCCAGGUUACUCUUUGCAAAGAGCCUCAAGGUAGACAGAAGCUGAACUAUCACAAUUGUGCUAUUUCUGGAGAUAAGGCUGGGGUGCAGCCAGUGAGUAGCCCUCCUUAAAUCAAGGCUGGUCUAAAUGCUUCAGGAUUCAGAGAGGUAAGAGCAGUAAGAGUAUAUGUGAGGUUCAGUGUGAAUUAUUUUUGUUAUACACUAGUUUUACUAUUGUCAGAGCCAAGCUUCUGAAAAUUCCACUAUCCUUUCAACCUCCCACCUCUGCCUUGUAGCGUAAUGGCCCAUUUAAGGAAAGAUACACAUCUUCCUUACCUUUGUUUAAAUAGUAAUGGUUGGUUUGUUUUUGGUCCCUACAGUGCUGUCUUGUGGCUCUUCUAAGGUCAGAGCUACUGUAGAGUAAGUAAGCAGCACAGUGAGUUGUUAGCACAGGUGAAGCCUAUAACUUGGGGUUCAAAAGGCAUAAAGAACCACAAAAGGUGUAUUUAAUCUUUUAAUAGUUUAUAAUAGAGUAAAAAGACUGUAAUUUACCAUCCACAUGCAUUUAAAAAAGAAUUACCAAACAGAGCAGUAGUGUGUGUUUUGAGUAUUAUUUGGCUGAUAACUGAAGAACCAGAAAUUGCUAAGUUGCACAUGAGCCAUACUUUGGUAGAUGUCACACUGAUAUGAAUAAAUUACACAAUCCUUUAGGGAUUGUACAUCAUUAUUAUGAAAACAACUCUUAAUAUUCUGAUAGCCCUCUGAUAAGAGCUUCUGCCCUGAACAAACCAGACUGGACACAGAUAAUAAACUCUUUCUGGAACUGGCCAAAAAAAGGGAUCCUUCAGCUGUUUUUAAGCUGCUUUUGGACUACAGUGUUGUAUCAGUGACUCUGCACUUCCUUUACCUGAGUGCUCAUCAACCUUAAACCCUGAGUGCAUCCUACCAGCUUCAGAUGCGCUCCUGAUUUGGUGUUAACUCCUGAGUUAAGGAAAUUAAGGCACAAAAUAACUUUAACAGACUUUUUUUUAAUUGAAAAAAAGUUGGGGCUAAAAUUCACACCCCAGGCUUUUCUGCUUUUAAAGCUGAGAGGUGCUUAUCCCAACCUUCCUUGUAGUCCUUCAUGGAAACCUGAAGUAUGACCUAUUACAAUGGAAAACAAGUAAUCUUGCUGCUAUCCUAAAAAGCUCCUGGCACCCCCUAAUGCCAUAGAAAUAAACAGGACCUAGAAUCUUUCCUCUUACAUUGAAACUUUGUAUUCUUUUGUUAAAAUUUUACUAAUAUGUAGAGGUAGCAGUAUUGCCACUAGUGUUAUUUGAGCCAGGCAAGAAGUAACCUCCUCUACUAUUAGUUUAGUAUUUUUCCUGUGUAUAUAUAUAAUAAAUUAAGUAAAGGCUCUUUCCCCAAAAGCUACAGUAAAGGCUGAGGCAUGAAGCUGUCUGCAGAAAUAACUUGGUAGGCAAGUACUGCUUUUGUGUCCAAUAAGAAGUGAAUGGCAUCAUUCUUAACCAAAUGCAUUCAAAAUAGUAUCUGGACUGUGUACAUUUUUUUUUCUUUAAGUUGAUGCUGCUGUUACGAAGUGAGUCAAGGCAUCACAAAGUAUUAGGCUAAUUAUCUCAGCUGAAUUUUGUGCCUUACAGCUGUUUCUCCUGCACAUUAACACUAUUAAACCUCAAGUCUUUGUGACAAGCAUGAGAUUUAAGCAUGUAGUCAAAAUGAAACUUGCUUUUGACUAUCCAUAUAUUUACUCAAACUUUCUAUUGUUUGUCCAACACUACUGAGAAGGCACAGUGGUUCUCAAGGUGAGAACUAUGUUGAAGAAAGGCCACAUUAUAUUAUAUUGAAUUAUACUGAUUCUGGCUCACUUGUCUGUAACAGCUGCUGUUUCCUAGCAGCAAUACAAAAGGGAAACUUUAGGGAGCAGAAGUGCACAUACCUUUUCACACUACUCUUGCAUUUCUUCUGGAGAGAUCUGGAUGCAGUUAACAAAAGAAAGCAAGUUUAAAGAGAUACUUUUGCUCAGUUCAAAAAAUAUGGCCUUCCCAGAACCAAUGUCUCCCCUUUAACAGUGCUAUUCAUAUAUAAAGAAUAACCCUGACUAUCCUUCUUGAAAUGUAAUUUGCUUUUACGGAUGAGCAGGCUGUGGAACAAGUUGCACAGUUCAUUGUAUGCUGAAGUUCCAUGCAAGGAAACAGCAGCAAUUGUGUUAGUAAAACUUCAUCCAGCAACCUGCAGGUGUGUUGGCACUUUACUAAGUAGGUCCUACUGUGACUAGACAGGUUCACUAUUCCUGUGAAAGUAGAUUUUCUCCCAUGCAGUGAGGUGGCACGAACAGAAGAAUCUCCAAAGGUUGAGGAUUACCCCUUGGUCAAAGGGAUUCUCCAAGUCAGACUGUUUCAGGUAGGAGAUGCGAUGAUGUGACAUGAAUUCCCAGCUGGUGGUGUUGCAUGAGACCAGAUAGAGGUGUGAAAUAAGCAGCAACAGGACAAAAAUGGUGAAUAUGACUAUCAGGAGGAAGGACACAAUGAGGAAAAUGUUGUGCUGCAGCCAGUCCCAGGACUGUUCAAAGUAGAGGCCCGACC